UACGAAGGGGGCUAGCGUUGCUCGGAAUCACUGGGCGUAAAGCGCACGUAGGCGGAUUGUUAAGUCGGGGGUGAAAUCCUGGAGCUCAACUCCAGAACUGCCUUCGAUACUGGCGAUCUUGAGUCCGGGAGAGGUGAGUGGAACUCCGAGUGUAGAGGUGAAAUUCGUAGAUAUUCGGAAGAACACCAGUGGCGAAGGCGGCUCUCUGGUACGUGACUGACGCUGAGACGCGAAAGCGUGGGGAGCGAACAGG
rnacentral:rRNA from 1 species